UGCCCAGCAACUCCUAUCCCUACCUCCACGCGGUACCGGCCGGAAACUAUGAGCAACCUUAGCGAAGAUCGGGUAACCAACCCCGGUGGGAACUUUGGUCGUAGGCUGACAGGGAAGG
rnacentral:ribozyme from 1 species